AUGGAUUUCUGCACCGUGAAUAGAAAUAUGGGCAUAAAUGCAGUGAUUAUGAAAUGCGCAGCGCUGCGUGUGCGCGCACGGAGCCGAGCUAUUUGUGGAUUAGUUACUUAAUUCAAGACAUGUUUUGGACAAAAUAUUAUACUUGCUAGUAUUGUCUGGAUGCCGAAGCUUGGAUUCUGGCCGGUUUUUGUGGCUUAUUUUCAUCGUUGACCAGUAAAAGAGCGUCCAAAGGUGAGUUACGCCCUUUAUGUGUCCCUUUAAAUUUUUGUUGUUUGUUGGAGAAAUGUGGUUAUAUUACCCGCUGUGGUAAUCACAUCUGAAAGUGGUUUAUACCUGCGGAUUCAUGGGAAUCUAAGCUUUCUAUCGGUGUAUAGUGUUUGAAUCAUUGUGUUGGCAGUGCCGUUCUAUUUCGAAAAAUGCUUAUGCAGAUAUCAAAACGGCCCGCCCGUGGGUGUUCAAGAUUAACUGGUGAUCCGAUCAACUGGUGAUUUUCAGCGAGCGAGACAGACGUUACAACGGCAAUACAUAGCAUAGGUGACUGUGUUGAUGCCUGUUGAAAACACACAGUGUCAAUAAACUGUUCCGAAAUGCUCUUUUUGUCAGCUUUAACAUUGGCUCCAAAAAUCGUUAUUGUUCUUUUUUUACUCACGGCUGUUCAGUCUACCAAUAAAAUACGCGGUUUUAUGAGGACUUCCACCAAACGGAAUGGAAAUAUCGCUUCGCUGCGGCAGAGUGUGACGAUCUACACCAGAUUUCAUAGUUAAGUCUGAAGUUAGAUAAGUUAGCAGAUAGGUAAGCGUAGGAUUUAGGUUAGUUUAGGUUAGUUAGGUGUUAGUGUAGCCAGUGGUAAGAAAGGGCAACACAGGGAAAUCUGUCUUUAAAAAAUGGACCCCAAAAUGGCUCAAGAGGUCCUUGACCUGAAAAUUAGUAACCGUUACCCUGAAGGCAUCACUCCAAAACAAAAAUAUGUGAUCAAAAGAAGAGCUGAAACCUUCAUGGUAAAGGGUAAGGUGUAUAAUAGGGAUUUGUAGUUAGUCAACUACACUUUCUAAACUCUGUAAUUUCAUGUUAAAUGUGCUUCACAUUCACACACUAGAUGGUGAACUGUACUACAUAUGUAGGCGGAAGAAAACUCAGCCUGAGCACCUGGCAAAAGUUGUUUGCUCUGCCAAAGAGGCAGAUGAUAUCUUUCAUGAAUUUCAUGAAAGCCAUUUUGGGGGUCAUUGUGGCUGGGAGAAAACACACAGCGCUAUAAUCAGCCGCUAUUACUGGCCUGGCAUGGAGAGUGACAUUAAGAAGUGGAUUGCUCAAUGUCCACCAUGCCGGUCCAAGCGGGCCUCUAUCAAAGAAAAAAAGAAUACAGUCCGAUAGAGGUAACCGAGCCUCUAGAGCUCGUUGGAAUGGAUCUUGUGGGUAAACUCACUCAGACAGUGGCAAUCAGUACAUAUGUGUCAUGGUUGAUUACUUCACCAAAUGGGCAGAGGCCUACCCACUAAAAAGUAAAACAGCAGAUGAGGUCACUAAUUGCAUCCUUGAUUGGUUUUACAAAUUUGGUGCACCUAAAAGACUGCUAACAGAUCAGGGCUCAGAGUUUCGCAACAAAGUACAGCACUGAUACAUAAUUGCUGCCAAAAAUAUAAAAGUGACUGCUGACUUAUUUUUUGGUUUGUCCUACAACCCUUUUGAAGCUGAACUACGGCAUAUGUGAAAAGCUGGGCAUUGAAAGAAGCCUCUGCUCGCCAUAUCAUCCCCAGACAAAUGGUCUCGUGGAAAAGCUAAAUGGCACAAUCCAAAGGUCACUGAAUAAACUUGUAGCGGAACACCCCACAACUUGGGACAAGUUUCUUCAAGCUACCAUGUUUGGUCUUCACACAAAAAAACAACUGACCACAAAAUACAGCCUGUACUUCUUGAUGUUUGGGAGGGAAGCCAGGUAUCCAUCAGAAGUACCUAAGGAAUACAAAGUGACAGAAGAACAUGUAUCUUCCUUAGUUCAACAUGAAGAAGUGUGUGAUGGCUUGAAAAGGCAGGCAACGACCUAUAAGGAGGUCAAAGCAAACAUAAAAAAAAAAGCCAAGAUGCAGUACGUAAAAGGAGGGCCAAACAUGGUACUGAAGAUUACUUCAAAGUGGGGGAUCUAGUAUUACUAAAAAUAUUAGGCAGGAGCAGAGGAAAGGGGGGAAAUUGGACCCUGACGUGCUUGGACCUUUUAAAAUCAUAAACCUCAUCGGAAAAUGUGCCGACCUUUUAUCAGAUGGAGGGAAAAUAAAGCGGAAGAUGAAUAUUGAUCACCUUACCCACUAUUUCCAGCCAGAGGAGAGGAUACCUGCAAAGUUGCAGAAAAUCUUGGCAGCUUCUCUGGCUGGACCCUAAUCAGUGGAGUCUACAUUGAAGGCAACAAGGAUCCAGACCCUAGAUCAGCACGAAGAUGCAGAAAACUUGAUCAGAGUGAUAUGGGCUGGAAAACAAAAAAACACCCUCUGGGCCAAAAUAGGGCCAUAUAAGAUCUUUUCGGAGAACUUCAUGGACUUGGCCCUAGGGAAGGAGCUGGAGAGUGAGGUGAUGAAUGGCUACCUGACAAGUGUGGGCAAAAGGACAGGAGCUCUGAUUUUAGAUUCUUAUCUGAUGACCUCAGCCUGGCAAGGAUCUACAAAAGGCUUCAGAAAGUUAAAGCUACUACAGCAUGAUGUGGCAGCUGGAGCAGUCUGUGAUAACGGACACUGGACACUUAUUAUCAUGUAUCUGAAGGAGAGGAGGGCACUGCACCUGGAUCCAUUCGGGGCAACGGAGGGGCAGAUCAAGAAGUGCAGAGAUGUAACAAGAGCACUGGUCCGCACAGUAUAUCCUGCAAUUACAAAGUGGACAUGCGCAACACUGCCCCAUCCAAAACAGCAGGACUCAACAUCAUGGUGUAUUUGUGUGCAAGCUUGCAGAACAAAUUCUAAAUAAAAAAACACAUCCAGUAUCCUGUGGACCAGGAGGGUGUGGCCAGGCUAAGGCUCGACAUAGCAAUGUCACUGCUGAAAGAUUCAGAGGACCUAUCUCAAAUGUGUCGGGCUUGUGGGGAGGCCAGCUCAGGCGCAAAAGUGGAUAAAUGGAUUGAGUGUACCGCCUGUGGGAGGUGGUACCAUAUGUCCUGUGUGGGGCAUCCACCCACAGAUGGGGAGUACAACUGCAAUAGCUGCCAAUAAAUGUUUUAUCAAAAGGAAAUGCAGUCUUUUGUCAAUGACAUCAGUUUUGAGUAUGACACAACGAACUUCUAUUGCUGAUUAGAACAUGAAUGUCCUGUGAUUUUUUUUUUUCUCCUAUAUUGCUGCAUUUCCAGUUCAAUACGUUAAAUAUUGCUGGACUGUUUUGGUAAUAUUUUGACGUUUGUGUAUUUAAAUAAGUCAGUGUAGCGACAAUAUGAUCUAAAUCUGCCAAUACGGUAGCAAUACAUCGUUAAACUACAAAAUUUUGGCAUUCUACCACAGGGUUUGAUCUUAUUAAAAGACACGCACACCGUGUCCUGGUCUCCUGUCUGCUGCUUUAACGGGUUUUGACAGUAAACAGUGAUCACAGCUGCACUAGUUCCAACCGCAGUUACGUAGUUUUCUUUCUUGUUGCCUGACAGCGCAUGACUCCUACGAUGAGAACGCGACUUAUUUCCAGAUAUUUUGUCAGGACCAAAAUGAAUAAAACAGCAGAAAUCUCAUUUUUAGAAGCGAAGUUGUUCCAUUGUUUAUUUCCUGGUUAGUUGGUAAGGGGUCCUGAAAAGCCACGCCUACGAAACAUCUGUCUCAGAAACGCUAGAAUCACCCUUUGAUCGGAUCACCAGUUAAUCUUCAACACAGGCCGGUGAAUUUUAAUGGGUUUUAAGUUUUUGUUGUUUUUUUUUACGAGAGGACUUUUCAACAUCUUUUCUUGAAUCUUGCUAGCUUGACGUGUAACCAACUGACACCACAGAGUUUUAAAAUAACUCUACCUAGCAUUCAAAGUACAUGUUUAUUACUGGUUGAGUGAACAAAUACCUGAUGACACUGUUCCCGCAAAGACACUGUGCAUUAUUACUUUUCAAUCAGCUGCUUUAGUUAAUUACAUUCACCUAAACUACUUUUACCCCUCAGUUUGUGCUAUUGCUGAAGUCCAGUGACUGACCUAAAAAGUCACACUGAACAAUAUGCAAUGGGAUUUUUUUAAAAGAUAUGAUUUUAAUACAAAUGGUCUUUUUCCAUUUUUUCCCCUCCUGAAUAAAACAUACCAGCAAUGACAUGACUUUGGCUGCAGUCAUGAAUGUGAUAUGUAGGCUGAAGCUUCUCUGUAGCAUCAUAAUUCUUCUUUUGUGAUGGUAUUUUGUGACACAUUACAUCUCAAAUGUGUUGAGUGAUUAUCAACCUGUCAGAUUUUUGGGUGCGAUAUUCAGCAAAUUUCCAAAUAUCAGUCUUGUAGUUUUUUGUUCAUUCACUGUAAAAUUCACAAAUUAAGGCGUGCGCUUUAGUGGCUCUGAUCUGUACUUAAGACAAACACAAGCCGAAAUAUUAAAGACACGUCGUUAAACUCUUCUCCAUGUCCAAAUGCUUUCAUUGUUAUGUAGGUUGCAAUAGAAAAACAGUGCAGUCACAUGCUAAAUGCUUUAAAGAUAUUUUUAUUUGUCUUGACAAAUAGUAUUAAUGAUAAUUGUUAUUUGUUUUGUACUGUGAGUUCUGCAAUUGAAGCUCAGCACACAAAUGAGAUAUUUUAUGUUGUGUGAAUGAUUAGAUAAAUCUGGAAGUCAUCAUUUAUUCAUUGUUAUAGAACCUGCACUUUGGUCAGCAGCACUUUCAUCAGAUUUGGGCUGUUUCCUGUUUGUGCAGACUGUGUGUGUUUGUUUGCAAUUGUGUGAAAAAGCUAAACUAAAUGCGAGCAAAGAGUGAUCUGUCAGAAGUUACGCCUAAAAUCAGUUAAUUUAGUUCUUGUUAUAGUUCUUGAAGAUUAUGAGAUGUUGUAGUAUACUUUCAUGUCAACUGCCUUUUUUUGAUGCUUCUGGUAAUUAAUUCAUUUUUACUCUAUAUUAUUGUUCUUCUUGUGCCAGUUCACAAUUGACUAGUAAGAGCUAUUUUGACAAAUGUGGCAUUUAAACAAAUUGCUGUUUGGCUGUAGAGGAGUAGAGACAGAAAUGGGGUUGAUCCGACUCUUUCCCUGGGCCAAAUCUGCUCAACGGUCUUUCCUUUAUCACGGCACCCAAUCUAAAAGAGCUACAGAGCCUGGCAAAGCUGCUUUUGACCCAUACAGACAGAGCUCUAUGUACCGGGCUUUGCAAAAGUUCUGUUACACGGUUUCAUGAUCUUUAGAGACGUUUACAUG